rnacentral:rRNA from 1 species
UGGGGAAUUUUGGACAAUGGGCGAAAGCCUGAUCCAGCAAUGCCGCGUGUGUGAAGAAGGCCUUCGGGUUGUAAAGCACUUUUGUCCGGAAAGAAAUCCUUGGCUCUAAUACAGUCGGGGGAUGACGGUACCGGAAGAAUAAGCACCGGCUAAUUACGUGCCAGCAGCCGCGGUAAUACGUAGGGUGCAAGCGUUAAUCGGAAUUACUGGGCGUAAAGCGUGCGCAGGCGGUUUGCUAAGACCGAUGUGAAAUCCCCGGGCUCAACCUGGGAACUGCAUUGGUGACUGGCAGGCUAGAGUAUGGCAGAGGGGGGUAGAAUUCCACGUGUAGCAGUGAAAUGCGUAGAGAUGUGGAGGAAUACCGAUGGCGAAGGCAGCCCCCUGGGCCAAUACUGACGCUCAUGCACGAAAGCGUGGGGAGCAAACAGGAUUAGUACCCUGGUAGUCCCACGCCCUAAACCGAUGUCAACUAGUUGUUGGGGAUUCAUUUCCUUAGUAACGUAGCUAACGCGUGAAGUUGACCGCCUGGGGAGUACGGUCGCAAGAUUAAAACUCAAAGGAAUUGACGGGGUCAUAGCUG